rnacentral:rRNA from 1 species
ACGAACGCUGGCGGCGCGCCUAACACAUGCAAGUCGAACGAGCGAGAGAGAGCUUGCUUUCUCAAGCGAGUGGCGAACGGGUGAGUAACGCGUGAGGAACCUGCCUCAAAGAGGGGGACAACAGUUGGAAACGACUGCUAAUACCGCAUAAGCCCACGGCUCGGCAUCGAGCAGAGGGAAAAGGAGCAAUCCGCUUUGAGAUGGCCUCGCGUCCGAUUAGCUAGUUGGUGAGGUAAUGGCCCACCAAGGCGACGAUCGGUAGCCGGACUGAGAGGUUGAACGGCCACAUUGGGACUGAGACACGGCCCAGACUCCUACGGGAGGCAGCAGUGGGGAAUAUUGCACAAUGGGGGAAACCCUGAUGCAGCGACGCCGCGUGGAGGAAGAAGGUCUUCGGAUUGUAAACUCCUGUUGUUGAGGAAGAUAAUGACGGUACUCAACAAGGAAGUGACGGCUAACUACGUGCCAGCAGCCGCGGUAAAACGUAGGUCACAAGCGUUGUCCGGAAUUACUGGGUGUAAAGGGAGCGCAGGCGGGAAGACAAGUUGGAAGUGAAAUCCAUGGGCUCAACCCAUGAACUGCUUUCAAAACUGUUUUUCUUGAGUAGUGCAGAGGUAGGCGGAAUUCCCGGUGUAGCGGUGGAAUGCGUAGAUAUCGGGAGGAACACCAGUGGCGAAGGCGGCCUACUGGGCACCAACUGACGCUGAGGCUCGAAAGUGUGGGUAGCAAACAGGAUUAGAUACCCUGGUAGUCCACACUGUAAACGAUGAUUACUAGGUGUUGGAGGAUUGACCCCUUCAGUGCCGCAGUUAACACAAUAAGUAAUCCACCUGGGGAGUACGACCGCAAGGUUGAAACUCAAAGGAAUUGACGGGGGCCCGCACAAGCAGUGGAGUAUGUGGUUUAAUUCGACGCAACGCGAAGAACCUUACCAAGUCUUGACAUCCCUUGACGAUGCUGGAAACAGUAUUUCUCUUCGGAGCAAGGAGACAGGUGGUGCAUGGUUGUCGUCAGCUCGUGUCGUGAGAUGUUGGGUUAAGUCCCGCAACGAGCGCAACCCUUAUGGUCAGUUACUACGCAAGAGGACUCUGGCCAGACUGCCGUUGACAAAACGGAGGAAGGUGGGGAUGACGUCAAAUCAUCAUGCCCUUUAUGACUUGGGCUACACACGUACUACAAUGGCGUUAAACAAAGAGAAGCAAGACCGCGAGGUGGAGCAAAACUCAGAAACAACGUCCCAGUUCGGACUGCAGGCUGCAACUCGCCUGCACGAAGUCGGAAUUGCUAGUAAUCGCAGAUCAGCAUGCUGCGGUGAAUACGUUCCCGGGCCUU